rnacentral:tRNA from 1 species
AUAAAUAUAGUUUAAAAAAACAUUAUAUUUUCAAUAUAAAAAUAUAUGUUAUAUUUAUUUAUC